UCCCGAACAACUCUUCUCAUCGCCGCCACCAUCAACGACGCUCGAUCCACGGGACCUACCGGCCGGAAUCGAUGGUGCCACGCACACCACAUGGAUCCCCUCACUCUGCUACUCCCUCCUAUCAUGGGAGAUCCAGCACGCGUGUCCUCCAAUGCUAUCCGCGACCGUCUCUUAUUACUAGGGUUUCGGUAGGAUUGGCCCCGGUGACUCAGGUGCGUCCGUCCACUCCAUCUCCUCCUCUUCACAACCCUCCCUCACAUCCUCAGCUCAUGUUCUCUCCCUCCCAAAUCCAGUACGGCGGAGGCGCGCGGGGUUGACCAAUCCAUGGGGGCGUCGUAUCUAGCAU
rnacentral:lncRNA from 1 species